rnacentral:rRNA from 1 species
AGGUAAGCUACUAAGAGCGAAUGGUGGAUGCCUUGACUGGUAAAGGCGAUGAAGGACGUACUAGACUGCGAUAAGCUACGGGGAGCUGUCAAGAAGCUUUGAUCCGUAGAUUUCCGAAUGGGGCAACCCAAUGUAUAGAGAUAUACAUUACCUAUAUAGGAGCGAACGAGGGGAAUUGAAACAUCUUAGUACCCUCAGGAAAAGAAAUCAAUAGAGAUUGCGUCAGUAGCGGCGAGCGAAAGCGCAAGAGGGCAAACCCAGUGCUUGCACUGGGGGUUGUAGGACUGCAAUGUGCAAGAGGUAAGUUUAGCAGAACAUUCUGGAAAGUAUAGCCAUAGAGGGUGAUAGUCCCGUAUGCGAAAAACAAACCUUAGCUAGCAGUAUCCUGAGUAGGGCGGGACACGAGGAAUCCUGUCUGAAUCCGGGUCGACCACGAUCCAACCCUAAAUACUAAUACCAGAUCGAUAGUGCACAAGUACCGUGAGGGAAAGGUGAAAAGAACUGAGGUGAUCAGAGUGAAAUAGAACCUGAAACCAUUUGCUUACAAUCAUUCAGAGCCCUAUGUAGCAAUACAGGGUGAUGGACUGCCUUUUGCAUAAUGAGCCUGCGAGUUGUGGUGUCUGGCAAGGUUAAGCAAACGCGAAGCCGUAGCGAAAGCGAGUCUGAAUAGGGCGCUUAGUCAGAUGCUGCAGACCCGAAACGAAGUGAUCUAUCCAUGAGCAAGUUGAAGCUAGUGUAAGAACUAGUGGAGGACUGAACCCAUAGGCGUUGAAAAGCCCCGGGAUGACUUGUGGAUAGGGGUGAAAGGCCAAUCAAACUUCGUGAUAGCUGGUUCUCUCCGAAAUAUAUUUAGGUAUAGCGUUGUGUCGUAAUAUAAGGGGGUAGAGCACUGAAUGGGCUAGGGCAUACACCAAUGUACCAAACCCUAUCAAACUCCGAAUACCUUAUAUGUAAUCACAGCAGUCAGGCGGCGAGUGAUAAAAUCCGUCGUCAAGAGGGAAACAACCCAGACUACCAGCUAAGGUCCCUAAGUCUUACUUAAGUGGAAAACGAUGUGAAGUUACUUAAACAACCAGGAGGUUGGCUUAGAAGCAGCCAUCCUUUAAAGAAAGCGUAAUAGCUCACUGGUCUAGUGAUUUUGCGCGGAAAAUAUAACGGGGCUAAAGUAAGUACCGAAGCUGUAGACUUAGUUUACUAAGUGGUAGGAGAGCGUUCUAUUUGCGUCGAAGGUAUACCGGUAAGGAGUGCUGGAGCGAAUAGAAGUGAGCAUGCAGGCAUGAGUAGCGAUAAUUAAUGUGAGAAUCAUUAACGCCGUAAACCCAAGGUUUCCUACGCGAUGCUCGUCAUCGUAGGGUUAGUCGGGUCCUAAGUCGAGUCCGAAAGGGGUAGACGAUGGCAAAUUGGUUAAUAUUCCAAUACCAACAUUAGUGUGCGAUGGAAGGACGCUUAGGGCUAAGGGGGCUAGCGGAUGGAAGUGCUAGUCUAAGGUCGUAGGAGGUUAUACAGGCAAAUCCGUAUAACAAUACUCCGAGAACUGAAAGGCUUUUUGAAGUCUUCGGAUGGAUAGAAGAACCCCUGAUGCCGUCGAGCCAAGAAAAGUUUCUAAGUUUAGCUAAUGUUGCCCGUACCGUAAACCGACACAGGUGGGUGGGAUGAGUAUUCUAAGGCGCGUGGAAGAACUCUCUUUAAGGAACUCUGCAAAAUAGCACCGUAUCUUCGGUAUAAGGUGUGGUUAGCUUCGUACUAGGAUUUACUCCGAAAGCGAAGAAACUUACAACAAAGAGUCCCUCCCGACUGUUUACCAAAAACACAGCACUCUGCUAACUCGUAAGAGGAUGUAUAGGGUGUGACGCCUGCCCGGUGCUCGAAGGUUAAUUGAUGGGGUUAGCAUUAGCGAAGCUCUUGAUCGAAGCCCGAGUAAACGGCGGCCGUAACUAUAACGGUCCUAAGGUAGCGAAAUUCCUUGUCGGUUAAAUACCGACCUGCAUGAAUGGCGUAACGAGAUGGGAGCUGUCUCAAAGAGGGAUCCAGUGAAAUUGUAGUGGAGGUGAAAAUUCCUCCUACCCGCGGCAAGACGGAAAGACCCCGU